AACGUCGGGGAAAGAUGCAAGGGGCUUUUGGCUUAGAAGACCACAACAGCUAACAAACAUAAGGACAAGGCUAUUUAGAAAGACUUUUCUUCUUGUCCACAUAAUCAGAUGGUUUGGAGGCUCCUUUGUGCCGAGUUUUGUGACUUCUCUACUUCUCCUUUGGUUGUUUGCUAAUGUGUAUCCAGAAGGGAAAAUGAGCCAGCAUUUUGCAAGCUUAAAACCAAGAGAUGUAGUGUAAGUGAAGGGGUAACCUAUAUUUACCAGUGGCAAUGAUAGGUAGAGGAUACACUCUAAGUUAUCUUAUAAUGAGGUGUAUCUUUUCUUGCAGACCCAUUGAAUAACUGAGAUAUGUUUCCAACAUGAAGAAGCAUAUUGGCAUGAUUGCAGGUGGUUCUGGUAUUACUCCAAUGCUUCAGGUCAUUGACGCUACACUAAAAAAUCUUGAUGACACAACCAAGGGCCAGCGAUAAGUGUCAGAAGGAGAAGAGGAAGCAUGCACUUAUCCUGCAUUUUCAAAGGAGCAAGCGAGUGCACUAGUGUUGCCCACUGCCACAUUUGUCAACUCGUCCUAAGAAAUGUAUUAGUUUCAUAAGCUUUUGAUGUUCAAGUAGAUAGGGCAUGUACUAGAAUGCUUUUCUUAUUUUAAUGUUGGCUUGGAUGAUUGGG